rnacentral:rRNA from 1 species
UACGUAGGUGGCAAGCGUUGUCCGGAUUUACUGGGCGUAAAGAGCGCGCAGGCGGUCGUUCAAGUCGCGUGUGAAAGCCCCCGGCUCAACUGGGGAGGGUCACGCGAUACUGAUCGACUCGAAGGCAGGAGAGGGAAGUGGAAUUCCCGGUGUAGUGGUGAAAUGCGUAGAUAUCAGGAGGAACACCAAUAGCGAAGGCAGCUCGCUGGGACGUUACUGACACUGAGGCGCGAAAGCGUGGGGAGCGAACAGG